GCCAGUGUGGUAUAGUGGUUUGAGCAUUGGACUAUGACUCUGGAGAGCAGGGUUCAAGUCCCCACUCGAGCA
rnacentral:tRNA from 1 species